AACCCUGAACCCUGAACCCUGAACCUGAGACCCUUGAACCCUGAACCCUGAAACCGCUGAACCUGAACCUGAACCCUGAUACCUGAACCUCGAACCUAGAACACGCUGAACCUUUGAACCUUGAAAACCCUAAAACCCUAAACCCUAAACCCCUAAAAACCCUAAAACCCUCAAACCCUAAAAACCCUGAAACCCCUCAAACCCUAAAAACCCUGAACCCUGAACCCUGAACCCUGAACCCUUAUUAGGAAUCUUUAAAAGAUAGCAUGAACCAAACGCACCCUUAGACCCAUAUAUUCCCAUGCAGAUUUUAGCCCUCACGGGAUUAAGAUAACCUUUGUACUAUCUGCUUAAAACUACUAAUUUUUAACCAUAUAAUAUUAGACGAAUAAUAUUAAUUUGAUUAGGAAAAAAAAUUACUAUAUAUUAUAUUUAAUGGCAUCGAUUAUCAAUGCAGAUACUUUGUCGCUG
rnacentral:lncRNA from 1 species